AACGAACGCUGGCGGCAUGCCUAACACAUGCAAGUCGAACGAGAUCUUCGGGUCUAGUGGCGCACGGGUGCGUAACGCGUGGGAAUCUGCCCUUUGGUUCGGAAUAACAGUUGGAAACGACUGCUAAUACCGGAUGACGACGAAAGUCCAAAGAUUUAUCGCCAGAGGAUGAGCCCGCGUAGGAUUAGCUAGUUGGUGUGGUAAAGGCGCACCAAGGCGACGAUCCUUAGCUGGUCUGAGAGGAUGAUCAGCCACACUGGGACUGAGACACGGCCCAGACUCCUACGGGAGGCAGCAGUGGGGAAUAUUGGACAAUGGGCGAAAGCCUGAUCCAGCAAUGCCGCGUGAGUGAUGAAGGCCUUAGGGUUGUAAAGCUCUUUUACCCGGGAUGAUAAUGACAGUACCGUGAGAAAAAGCUCCGGCUAACUCCGUGCCAGCAGCCGCCGUAA
rnacentral:rRNA from 1 species